CAUUGGUGUGUGUGCUGAUGGCUGCCUGGAGCCUUGGAUGUGGCAGCCAGACGGUGCACCAGCCAGCAGAGAAUGUGUACGCCAUGAAAGGCGACUCAGUUACGCUGGACUGCAGCUAUGAAAAUUCUGGAGGCAUCAAUUACAUAUUCUGGUACAAACAGGAUGGGCAGGCGACACCAAAGUUCAUCCUGAGCCUCUCAAUAUUUGGUCAGGGCAAGACUGAGAGCAGCUUUGAAAAGAGGUUCAGCUGCAGCAUCAAUGACACCGCCAAGCAAGCUCCUCUGAAGAUCCAAGACGUGCAGCUGAGCGACUCUACUGUCUUCUACUGCGCCAUCAAGCCCACAAUGACUGACAUCUCUGCUGCCCCUGCACAAAAACCUCUGUAGGCUCCUCAUCCCACUGUGGCUGUUUGAGAGCUGGUUCUAUGGAGGUUUUCACAGCUUUUGUUCAAGUCACGACAUCACGAGGGUGGCGAACUGGAGAUGUUUUUUAUUUCCAUCCAUCCAUCCAUUUUCUACCGCUUGUCCCUUUUGGGGUCGCGGGGGUGCUGGAGCCUAUAUCAGCUGCGUUCGGGCGGAAGGCGGGGUACACCCUGGACAAGUCGCCACCUCAUCACAUACCUUAAUUGUUUACAAACCGUGUUUGUAACACGGCAGUAAUGUGCUGAUCAAACACAACAGAAGUCAUCAUGAUAGACCCACUGGCUGUGGAAGAUAUCUCCAUCAGGUAAACAGACUCAAUCAGUCCAUGAAGAUGUUUUAGUGAAUUUAUUGAGGAAUUUGUGAAACUAAAACUGCCCCUGAAAAAGAAACGCUCUGGGUGCCAAUGAUCUGUACAUUGAAGUAAAUCACCUUCGCAGGUCUGUCUCUGCAAUACCUAUCAUCAGGCCGGAUACAUCUUUCUUAAACCUAUUAUCUACAUGUUUGGCCAAUUGUUUGGUUUUAAAUGACAUCACGUCCUGCUAACAUACCGCUCAUCAAAUAUGCGUGGUGGUCAAGCCAGCGUCUGUUCUCAAUGGGUAAUAGGCGGCAUUUAGCCUUUCUCGAAGAAAAAUGCCCUAUUCUUGCGUUGUUUUCGGCUGUACGAACUAUUUAAACUGCAAAACGGAUAAAAGUUUCUUCAGAAGAGUGCAAGAUUUUACAAAAUGACGACGAAAAAAGUAGCAUGCACUCCAGUCCAAAGGAGCAGAGUCGAAGAAUGCAGGAGUUUGCAAUGACCACUUCAUUAAAGGUUUGUUUGACACACUUUUAACGUUUGUGUUUCCCAUUUAAG